UCAACUAGCUACUUUUUAGAAACUUCUCAUUUGUUUGUUCACGAAUCGAAUUUAAAUGACAUCCAGGAUUUGUGGCUUUCAAUCCAUUUUCAAGGUUAUUGGGCAUUCUUAGUUUCUCAAAUGCAGAUAUCAACAAGUAAUAAUGCUCUGUUUGUCUCUGUAUGGUUGGGAAUUUAAUUGCUGAUCCAACACCCACCCCUACUUCUGGUUUGAAUUCCAAUUACACAAAUAGGGAGCUUUGCUAGGCCUCAACACACAUUAUACUGCUAUUUGUAUCUCUUCAACAGUGCAAUAACCUAACUUCCAUAAUACACACCCCCACCCCCACCCACCAAAGGGUCUCAAAUUUCAGGAAUAUGGUUGGUAAUACUUCAUGACGUGUUAGUUGCUUUAAUUUCCUUAUGUUGAUGGCAACAACGUUAUAAAAUUUGUUAUCAGCAGCUGAUGCGCCCAUUACCAAAAUGGAUAAUCCUUAAAAAAAAAAAAACAAAAUGGAUGGAGGCUGACUGUAGGUAAAUGUAUGAACCCGGACUAUCCAAUACUCGGGUAUCGAAAGUCCACGAGUUCUUACUUAAAAAAUUGAACUUUAUGCUUGUGUAUAUGAAAUUCCAUAACAAAAAGUGUUUAGUAUCGUAGAAAAUCAUGUACACAACGUUCAUCUUUAGGAAUUAAGUGGGCUAACCUUUAUGAUUUUUGAACAUUGAAAUGAAUAGGAGUGAUUUAGCCAAAGUGACAAUUUUGACUAAAAAAAAAGCACAAAAACGCCCCUAGACACUGUAUCACGAAUUUUAGUCAACCGGGUAGUCCAAUUUCGAAACUGUUUGUAGAAAUUAUGUAGAAUAGUUAGAGGAACAAUCCCAUAUAGUCAAAAUGCCAAGUGAAUCACACAAUCAUGGUGAACUAGAACAUGACACAUUUGUAGCCGUCGAUUGAGGAAGGUGAUCAUAAAAUUAAACUGACCAAAAUACUCGUCAUGUUGUUAAAUCCUUAACCCACCGUCGAAAUUCCAUUUCGAGGUGUGUAAAUACGAUUUCUAAAUUAACAUAGGUGUUAUGAUAGAUUUUAAUUUGCUUUUGUAUGGAGGUGGUGUGGGAAGAGAGGAAUGGGAGAUGUUGUAAAGGGGGUUCUAAUUUGAUGGGUUCCAUAGUGAAAAGAGUUCAGUUUUAUAUUUUCGACUGGGCCUCCAAUAUAAUGCUUUUAAAAGAUUGUAAUUUGCUUUUGUAUGGAGGCAAUUAACUCACAUUCUCAGCGGGUUGGCUUCCUCCCUGUUUUCCUUUUUUGUUUUAAUGAAAGUCUCUGUUAUCUCUCAAAAAAAAUAAAAUAAAAAAAAUAAUAAUAAUAAUAGUUCACAUUAAUCUAGACCUAGAAUUGAUGAACUACUUUUGAUGAUCCGAUAACUACCAAAUUUUAGACUUAACCUAUUAAGCAUAUUUUACGCGUACAAACUAAACCUCCAUGUCUAGAUCAUUCCAGAAAUACCUAAACUAAGAAAAUAACCCUAAACCAUUCAUUUUGUUUAUCAUAAUCAUGGAACCAAUUUUACAAGAUUUGGGACAAUGAGCUUGAUUUAAUGGAAGGCUCAGAUCAUACCAUUCUCAUGCUGAUUUUGAUGAUUAACAUGAGAACUUCACUUUUUGCUCAAAAUACCCAUAAUUAGAUAUAUCCUAAUCUAAUUACAACUAAGAAAUUUAGGCUUUAAGUAACUUGAAGUGAGACAUCAAGUUUAUGGAUUUUCAACUGUCAGAUUUUGGUGAAAAUUGGACCAAUCACUAAGAGCAUCUGACUACGUGUUUCUACAAAGUUCGAGCCCUGAUUGAUAAGUGUGGACCGUUGAUUUUGAUGAGUGAUUUAUAGCUUUCUAUACUUGUCCAAUCAUUACAAAACUUGUACGAUUUCAAAGAUCUCGAAAAACUAAGACAAUGGAGUGGUUGUGAUAACUUGGACCACACUACCAUAAAUCACAAUUCCCAACCAUUUUAGACCAACCAUGGGACUUCUUUAAUAUAUUGAGAGGUUGGACGUUCCAGCCCCCCAUUGUUGCAAAACCGGUCAUGAGAGGAGAGAAAAGAGAAGAAAGAGCAAGAGAGGUGUUUUUGUGGAGAUGUUGGAAGACGUGUGAGGGCUGAUAUUCCUUGAACGUCUUCACCAUUAGUGCUUGGAGGAAUCACCAUCAUCAUCAUCUAAUUAAACCCAAUCAUCAAGGUUUGGAGGGUUUCUUCUAGAUUUUCAUCAAAACAUAGUUUUAGGAAUAGAUUUCUAGCCUAGGCUUAGAUCUUGAUUUUUAGAAUUUAAUUCUAAAUUAAAAUUUUAAUUAAAAGAUUUAUUUUUAAAUUAAGGAUUUUGGAGUAGAUCUAGAAAUCUAUAGAGGCUGGGCAUGACCGUUGUGGACACGUUUGUGUACUUAGCAGUUGAGUGAUGGAUGUUGGAUGCGAGUGGCUAGUUAGUUGCAUACACAACUUGUCUUGCUUACCUCUGAAACUGAACAACUCGGCUGUAGUUCUCACAGUUGACACUUGAGCCAUA